GACGCUGGCGGCGUGCCUAACACAUGCAAGUCAAGGACUGUAGCAAUACAGGACUGGCGCACGGGUGCGGAACACGUAGGUAAUCUGCCCUUUAGGGGAGAACAACCAGCCGAAAGGUUGGCUAAAUCUCCGUAACAUCGAGGUGUGGCAUCACAUCACGAUCAAGCUUUCUAAAGGAUGAGCCUGCGUCUGAUUAGCUAGUUGGUAGUGUAAUGGACUACCAAGGCUACGAUCAGUAGCUGGUCUGAGAGGAUGAUCAGCCACAUUGGGACUGAGACACGGCCCAGACUCCUACGGGAGGCAGCAGUGAGGAAUAUUGCUCAAUGGACGAAAGUCUGAAGCAGCAACGCCGCGUGAGGGAUGAAGGUGCUUUGCAUUGUAAACCUCUGUAGUCGGGGACAAACGACGGGUUAUUACCCGUGUGAUGGUACCCGAAAAGUAAGGAUCGGCUAACUACGUGCCAGCAGCCGCGGUAAU
rnacentral:rRNA from 1 species